ACAGGCUUGGAAGGCAUCAUGAAACUUGAGGUUGAUCAUCAAAUCAUCUCUUACUUCUCUUGUACUAGUAAUAUUUUGCGUAUAUAUGGCAUAUCCUGAAACAUCUGUCGUUGUUAUGGCACACUAGGAAUCUGGGAUGCAGGCCUAGGGUGUAUCGUCGCGCCACCCACUUCCAUUCACCUGAUUGCUCAACUUCUGUCGGGAAGUCAGGUGGCACAGAUCAAGGCAUUCUAACACAGAGGUGGGGUCAUUGGGCAAUACUUGAUUGAAGGACAAGUUGCUGAAAUCCAUCAACCCCUGCUUUGAAAGAGAGUUUGUGUUGUUGUGGAGGCUGAGAAUUCAGAGUUGGGUGUGUUUGGAUCUUUGGCUCCCAGAUAUAGCUACCUACCAGAUAGAUGAUCGUGGCUUCUAGAGCCACACAAAAUCAGACAUCUGGCGACGCUGCUGUUUAGGACAGGCAAGAAUCUCACACCAUCAUCCAAACAAGCUUCAUAUCCAGCCAUCCAUGUAGGGCACAAGUGACGAAUGCUGACACAUGUGUGCUCGUGACAUCCUUAGCAAAUCACGGCAGUUAAAAACAUUGUUAAUUCAGUCUUAGAGGCUUAAAAUAAAAAUUCUCAAGCAAUGCUUAGACCAUAAAAAAAGUCAAGCAAUGCUUUAAGCCCAUGCAUGACUUGAAUUUCUUUUUUCCCCAA
rnacentral:lncRNA from 1 species